rnacentral:lncRNA from 1 species
CUCCUUUCUUCAAUUUGCUUAAAAAAAUUAUUCUGAGCAUUAUAUAACCCAUUACUGCAUUUUUAAAUAAUCCAAUGAAACCAAUUUAGCUAAAUAAUAAUGACCGCAAUUUUCCCAGGCACACAAAAUUUACGUAAGAGUGACUUUUCAGUCACAAAAACUGUCAUGAGAGGAAUAUAAGUUUGUUUUUCACAGCUUCUGGUCUCUCACUAAACCAGAGAACCCAUUUUAAAAAAAUCACUGUAAAUGAUUGUUAUGCCUAGAUUAUUCACUCUUGAGCCCAAAAGAACAGAAGAUAUUUACUAAUAAAAUUAAUAGAUAAAAUUUAGACAACUUCAAGGCAGCAAACCAUAGAGUUUAGUCACCCCAACAGAGUUACUAUUCAUACAGAAAGGACAUGUACAAUGGCUGCAACAUUGAAUAGGACAAAAAGUUAAGGCUUCUAGGUAGCAAAAUUCAGGCCAUAUUUUAUAAGAUUUCAAUAUCACAUAAAGUGACUCUUGGCAUGUCUCAUCACUAUUGGUUGGAGCAGAUAUAUAGCUUUUGAGUUACAUAAGUACAUUGUAUAUUUUGUGUUGGAAUGGGGCUGAAAGAUCAGGAGCAAUAAAAGAAUACUUUUUACGGUCUUCGGCCUUCCAGGCCAGGCUUCACUGUUUGAGAAGGUGAUGUGUCAAUCAAGAGUGACUGGUACAUUAGUAGACAUUUUCAGUCAGCUCUAGGAAAUUCCCUUAUGGAUUAGAAGUUCAUAUUCUUUUGUCUUCUACAAAACCACUCCCCAACUACCACCCAUACAUAAGUGCCAGAUUUAUAUAUAAGGGAAAUAAAACCUCACAAUACAAAACUAUCAUACAAAAUAUAAAAUGCAUUACACACACUCAAAAUAUAAUAUAAACCAUAAAAAGAAAUUUAGGCUCAUCAGAUAAUUAAACAGUUCCUCAAACCUUGGCACCAUAUUGUAUAAUCUGAAAAGAAUCUGUCACUAGAGUUCAUUGAAGCCAGAUGGAUUCUAGAGAAAUCUGUUGGAAAAUAUCUGAUGCAGUAUUGACAAAAAGAGAAUUCUCAUUUUAUUUUUUUGUCUUAUUCAUCUUUAUGAAAUCCUAAAAGUUCUAUGUUUCAAAAAAGAAAUAGCAUCAAUUUAGAAAUCCACUUCAGAACAAUUAUUUUUAGUAACAACAAUGUGAAGGUCCUUAGGGCCUUAACAUUUUUCUUUAAAUUACAGCAUUAAAAAUUAGAACUUCAUCCUCCAAAACAUCUGUAGGUUACAUUUGAAAUCCGUGCUUAUUUUGAUCCCCUAAGUGUUUCUCUUUUCCCAAAUAAAAAUAAAAUUUUGCUUACUCAAAUCUUAGUGGAAGCAAUUUAUAGAAAGUAUGGGGGAACGUGCGAUGGGAAAAAGAAAAAAUAGUAGGGCCAAAUGAAAGUGAAUUCAUAGAGAAAGAUUCUCCAUUCUAUUUACAUAGCUUUUUUAGAAUCUCAAUUUUUGUGUUCAUAAGAAAAGAGUAUAAAUGUCUCCUCUGUAUUUUCCCCAGUUCAUAAAAUUUAUGAUUUUAUAAAGGACAAAUUCAGAGACUCUAAUCUGGCCUUUAUUUGUAUAUCCAACAAUAUGUAUAUGCAGUGCACCAUACCAGGUACAAAAGGAUACAAUAAAAAGCAAGUUAGAUCUGGUCCCAAUUUAAUGGAGUCUGUAGCUACAUACUUGGUUCUUAAAUCUCCAGCCUAUUUCUCAUUUGUAUCAAUUUCAGUGAUAAUUACCACUCAAUACUACCUUAAAAUUACAAAAUAAAUUAUUAAAAACAAAUUUAGAGUUCAGCUCCCAUAGUACUGAUAAAUGAAUUUCUAGACAAGUCCAGUUUAUUAAAGAUUUUGACAUAUUUUCCCCCCCAAAAAAAGUGAAUAAGGAAGUUAAGAAUAUAAAUUAAAAAUAACUAUACCUUUUUUUCUGGAAUAAAAAUUCUAUAUAAACUGUAUCAGAUGUCAAAAAAAUGUUUUAAAGUAACUAAAGAGGAAUUGUUAACAUAGCCUUUCACUCUAGGUCACUCAUUUGACGGUUUUCCAGUUCUAAUAAAUAGACAUUUUCAUUUGGCUGCAGGAACUGUACUUGCAGAAUUAAAAUAGCCCAUAAACUCAAAAUAUCAUCAAUAAUAAUUAAUCGCUUUGUCUUAAGUAGGCCAACAAUCAGAUAGGCAUUAACAGUGGUGACUUUUGUGAAAAUAAAAAACAAGCAAAAUAGCACUUUAACAGCUGAAUUCAUCAACAUUAUGAAAAUAUGCAACUAUAAAUUAUAAAUUGAAUAUGUACAUGCUUUUUAAUAUGUACAUUCAUAUUCACAUGCAUUCUUUUGUUUGAAUUUUUGUACUGACAUUUCUUGAAGAGUAUAUUAUAAUAUCAAAUUCAGUGGUUAUUUUUUAAUCUGAAAUUUUCAGCUUCUAUUUGUAAUUUUAUACAGGAUGUCUACAUAUAUUUAAGCUACUGUCUUAUUAAUUUGCAAAUUGUAUAAUAUGAAAUCUAAUGGUUCUAUUUCAUCUUGCUAAAUUUUUGCAUAUUCUGAAUUUAACAAUCUCAUUGUAGUUAGUACAAAUUUCAUCUCAGUUUUGAAAUAAACAAGUGAUCUUCUAAUUUAAAUAAUUUACAAACUUCUGUUCAGGUGAAUUGGGAUUUGCAGAACCCUCCAAAUCUUUUCAUUAUUCAACUUAAAAAGCUUUCAAUGUGUUUCUGAAAUUAAAGAAAUACUUGUAAUACUUCAAUCUUGUGCUUUCUAAAAAAAAGCCUCCAAUCGUUAUCUUUUCUGGAAGUAAAACAAGAAAACUUAAGUCCAAAUAUAUACAUAAAAAUUUCCCUUAUAUCAUCAACUAGUUCAUUUGAUUCAGAUUCUCUAGCCAUGGUUGUUUUUAUGUCUACUUCCUGAACUAAGUUAGUAAAUAUUUAAUAACAUUUGCUUCUUACAGAUUAUAUAUUUAAGUCUUUUCAUUUAUAUUUGAAAGAUUUACCAUUAUUUCUUGACAACCCUAGCUAGAAGAAUACAUCUUUUUAUAAAUGAAUUUUUCUUAGGGACCUAGAAUCAGCUUUUGUUUCAGCAAAAAAAAAAAUCCCUAAAGUGUAGAGCAUUUCCAAGUGAAGCACUCAUACUUUAGACCUGUGGAAAUACUUCCAAGAGACUGCAGAACAACUGCAGUAUCUAACAUCCUUAAUCCCAGAAAGGACUUCUUUUGUUUCCACAGGCAAUCCGUCAUAUACUGAAACCAAAUUUGUUUCGUAGAAAUAAAUCACUGAUAAGAAAAAGUAUCAGGAAUCUUUCCCUGGAGUGGUAGAACUAAUCCUCAACCAUUUCCUAUUGAUGAGAAUCUCAAAUCCUGAAUUUAUAAAACAUUUUGCCCAAUUUCCAUUGUUAUUUCUGAAAAACAAAAACCUACAUCUCUCCCUCAAACAUAAGACAAUACUUGGUGAACCAAUUAAGAGGUAUGAUCCAUGUUCAAUAUAUAACCUACCCUAGCCUUCAAUCUACAGCACAGCCUGUCUUUAAAGAUAAAGGGCAGACUCGUUAAGGUAAGAGUAAAUUGCUCUUGCAAGUUAUUACAUGUAACAAAGAGUUCCUAUCAUGUGGAUUGAAUUCUUUUGAAUGAUAUAAGUGGAAUCAUCAGGCAAAAGAAAUAACAAAAGAAAACUGACAAAAAGGGAUGUACUCUAAAUAUUUUAACGCUGCUUCUGCAUUUUGGCUGAUAGGCACUCUCUAAAUGAAAUCUAUAAAAAAAAAAAAAGCAAAUACAUCAGCUCUUCUAGAGGGUCUAAAUUGGAUUUAAGUUAAUCUCACUAACUGUUUUUCUAGUUUCUUAUUUACAAAUUUAUGCUGAUUUUUCAUUUGUUUUAUCAUACUUUGUAAAUAAAAGCAAACAGAAAUAUUCAAAAUGCAUAAAUACUUUGAGAAAAUCCUGUACUUGUCUCUUUGAGGUUAGACUGAAGAAUGAGACUUAGACUGAGAAUGCUAGCUCUACAAGCCAGCAUUCUGAUAAGCAUGAUAACAAGAAAUUAUCCUUUCUCUGUCUGAAAGAGAAAGCUGGGGGAAGGUGGAGAAAUAAAGGCACAAUUAAUUUUAAUUCUUCAAAUAAGCUUCUAGAAAUGGAGGGGGAAAUUUAUAUGAUGAUAAAUUUAGCAAAGUUAUUCAGAGUUAAGAAUACAUUACAUUAUAAAGUUAUCUUAUGAAUCUGUUAUAAAAAGCUUUUCUUUAGUAAUUACAGCUUUAAAAAAAAAAAACUUCUGAUGAUUAAAAAAGUUUGUAGGGAAACACCCUAGGUGACAUAGCCAAAUCAAUCCUCAGAACUGGUAAGACUCAGUCUUAGGUAGAGAGAGAAAGCAAUUCGGAGUUUAAGGAAAUAACUAUAGCUACCAAAGGAGAAAUAGGGCACAGAUGGACUCGGGGAGGGGACUGCUAGGUGCACAUGCACACGUGCAGAUACAUACCCCCUAUAUAUACACACAUACAAGUAAUUCAUCCCAUCAACAAAUGGAAAAUUCAGCAGUACCAUCAACUUUAACACUAAGUAUGCUCUUUCCUAGCUAACUUUAUGCAUGCACCAAGUCCAUAUAGGGAAGACAAAAGAAUAAGUGUUCAUAUUCAGUCAUUCAAUUCCAUGGCUAAAACAUUUGUUAUUUUAUUUAUUUACUGUCUUUUUGCCUUUUCUAGGGCCGCACCCGUGGCAUAUGGAGGUUCCCAGGCUAGGGGUCUAAUCGGAGCUGUAGCUGCCACCCUAUGCCAGAGCCACAGCAACUCGGAAUCCGAGACAUGUCUGCGACCUACACCACAGCUCAGGGCAACGCCGGAUCGUUAACCCACUGAGCAAGGGCAGGGAUCAAACCCGCAACCUCAUGGUUCCUAGUCGGAUUCGUUAACCACUGCGCCACGACGGGAACUCCGUAUUUGCUAUUUUAAAAUCUCAACAUUAUUACAUAAUUUUUCCAACACAUCAGUCUCGUAAGCACGCAGUUUCAGUAUUACAAGUGUCCCUUUGUACCAAUGUAUUUUUUGAUCCCAUAUCAGUCUACCACCUGAUCAUCCAAACUAGUAUAAUUUCCAACUUGUUCUUUUUCAACCUUUAGUACCACGAAGCAUAGUUAUUUGCUGCUUUCAGGAAAGCUGCCAUCCUGGCCCACUAUCUGGGUCAUGCCAUACCUUAAGCCUUACCUAACCCUAGUUUAUCACUUCACUUAACUUGUGCUUUAUAGUUCAUUACCAGGACUCUUUACAAAGUAAAGCAGAUCUUUUAACCCUACAUCCCUAAAUACAAUUUAGGUUGAGUAUGACAGAUUCCUUUCCUCUCCUUCAAGGGCUCCACCCAAACUGCACAAGAAAAGCUCAUUUUAGGAUUACAAGAGGUAUCUAGUAUGAUCAAAGGAGGAGACAGCAUUUUCCUGUAUCCAGAUGCAAUCGACAGAGGAACUCUCAAAAUUAACUGUACCUCUUUUCUACUUCCAAAAAUAAUGUAUCCAUUGUCUUCAUACCUAAAAUACAUUUAGCCCUCCAAUGUAUAUAAUGUAUAUAUUUUACCUAUUUGUAUAUUUCUUCAAUGUUUUCAUCCUGCCAUAUAUCCUUUAGGUAUUGACAUACAUAAGAUUUGCCUAAAAUCCUUCAGGAAGACAUCACUGUAUUUAGAUCAUCUGCACAGCUUCUACCUAGCAUGGAAUCAUGGUACAUACACCCUUACUGGAUGGUAUUUGAUAUUAUAAAGAUGAUGAAACUGAUCAUUAUACUUUUUUCAUUAUAUACCACUAUUCAGAGUAUGAAGUUAUUUCUGAAGGCUGCAUGAACUCUUUGAGGACAGUAGGGCAAUAUAAUAAAUAAUGACUCAAGUGUAAUAAUGAUUGGCUGAUGAUUUGGCCUAGAUAACACAGACUGAGUUAAAACAAAAAAAAAAUAUUUUUUAAAAAAACACUGAAAGCAAGACUCAAAGGGUAAUUUUCUUGUAUAAGGGACAAUCAGGGUAACCUUCCCCCAUAAACAUCACAAAAGAUUCCAAAUAUGGCAAUGCUAUUCUCACCAUCAACUUCCUCUAGAAGAGGAAGGAAAACUAAAGCCAGAGAAGGUAAAUAAUGGAAUCAGAAUAUAAAACAAAGCAAGGACAAAUUAGUAUUUUAAAACUAUUCUGUCA